CAUCGCCAUUCUCUAAUCUUGAGUACCCAGGGACACGAUACACUGCGGAAGGCUGCAGGGACCUCUGCCCAGGAAAGCCAGGAGCCAGAAAAACUUCAUCUCUUUUACAAGAAACAUUGAGAUUCCUGUAAAAUUAAGAAAUCACACAAUUUGAUGGUCUACAUUAUCUAAAGCAAAUGAGACUUCUAUUUGGAACAAAGACUACCUUGUUGGGAAAUGAGUCUGCAAGUUAAAGUGUUUUCUGGGAUCACUCUAAGCUCCAGUGUCAAGGAGUCAAGUCCUUCAGGAAUUCUCUGCCUCCACUCCCUGUGGCAGAGCUAGAGUGGCUGCCAUGCUUCUGAGCUCAGCCAGCAUCCAGAGAGAGAGUGAGAUACAGCCUCCUCUUCUUGAAGCACCCACUUCUAAACUCUGUGACAGUUUUCUUGGAACUCUGUUAUGUGGAUCUGGAGAUGACAAUGUCACAGCACUCCCCUCUAAGCCUAAAUUCCCCCACACCGAUGAACUAUUAGGAUCCAGUAUCUGCCGGAGGAGCCCCACCUUCUGCUACUAUUAUGUUCUUCAGAUGAGUAGAAGAGAGUGGGGAGGGAGAGAGCAGGAAGAAGAAAGGAAGAAUAAUGUCUUGAAAUUGAUGAUGCAUAUCAUAAAUUAUUACUCACCCCAUGUUCCCACCCUCGAGAGACCUCCAAACAAUCACCAUGCCACAGUGAACAUUCAGUAACAAAAAUUCAGCCAGGGUUUUCACCAGCAUGAAUGGCAGUGAUUCCAAUCAGGAAAACAGAAAGAGGAGAGUUCAGAGCCACCUAGAAUGGCUCUUGCAAGAUACGAAA
rnacentral:lncRNA from 1 species